GACGAACGCUGGCGGCGUGCUUAACACAUGCAAGUCGAACGAGACGAUUGAAAGCUUGCUUUUGAAAGUCGAGUGGCAAACGGGUGAGUAACGCGUAGACAACCUGCCUUUGAGAUGGGGACAACAGUCCGAAAGGACUGCUAAUACCGAAUGUUGUGGAACUUCCGCAUGGGAGCUCCACCAAAGAUGACCUCUUCCUGAAAGUUAUCGCUCAAAGAUGGGUCUGCGUCUGAUUAGCUGGUUGGUGGGGCAACGGCCUACCAAGGCGACGAUCAGUAGCCGGACUGAGAGGUUGAACGGCCACAUUGGACUGAGAUACGGCCAGACUCCUACGGAGGCAGCAGUCGGAAUAUGCGCAAUGGGCGAAAAGCCUGACGGAGCAACGCCGCGUGAGUGAAGAAGGUCUUCGGAUCGUAAAGCUCUGUUGUCGGGGACGAAAUGUUGAGACUUAGAACAUAAGUUUCAAAAUGACGGUACCUAACGA
rnacentral:rRNA from 1 species